rnacentral:rRNA from 1 species
AACGAACGCUGGCGGCAUGCCUAACACAUGCAAGUCGAACGAGACCUUCGGGUCUAGUGGCGCACGGGUGCGUAACGCGUGGGAACCUGCCCUUAGGUUCGGAAUAACUCCCCGAAAGGGGUGCUAAUACCGGAUAAUGUCUUCGGACCAAAGAUUUAUCGCCUUUGGAUGGGCCCGCGUUGGCUUAGCUAGUUGGUAGGGGACAAGCCUACCAAGGCGACGAUCCAUAGCUGGUCUGAGAGGAUGAUCAGCCACACUGGGACUGAGACACGGCCCAGACUCCUACGGGAGGCAGCAGUGGGGAAUAUUGGACAAUGGGCGAAAGCCUGAUCCAGCAAUGCCGCGUGAGUGAUGAAGGCCUUAGGGUUGUAAAGCUCUUUUACCCGGGAUGAUAAUGACAGUACCGGGAGAAUAAGCUCCGGCUAACUCCGUG